rnacentral:misc_RNA from 1 species
GCUGCGCCCCGACCUGAGUGGAGCUCUUUUUAAUUGGUGACUGAGCUUGUCGAAGUCAACAAUUAAAAAAGCGGGAACGGAGGGCGGAAAAAGGC